CUGGCACGGGGAGAGGCGAAGCAGUGUGUUAGAGGACAAUGGCCAUUAAACUUUCAUUCAUUAAAACUGACCCGACACGCUGUGUGGCGAGUAGCUAACGAGGAUGAGAGUUAGGCACAGGGCUGGCAGCUCCGACACAGCAGAGGAAGGGAUGGACGAGCACAGGAAACAGGAAGUAGAACGUGGAAGGAUGAGGUGUGUGUGGACUAAGUAGAACAGAGGAUGAACGUUAAAAAAAGGAACAGCGGCAAAGAUAAAGGAAUAUCAAAGUACUGAAUACUGUGUUACCCAUGAGCCUCAGCAGCUGUUACUAUGGCGAUGGCAGCAUCUACAGUGAGGAGAAGAAAAGCUUCAUGCUUUGCACAAUAUACAUAUUUGCUUUCCUGCUGAGAGUUUGAUCAUAAGAUUGAUACCACUCUCACGUCUACACAAUAAAUAUGAUGCUCCACUAUGUUCCCCAGCCAGUCACUAACUUUGUCUGUUUGCUGUUUGGUGCUGAGCGGGAAACUCACAGCAGAUUCAUCAGAGAUCUUUCUCUAAAAGCAGCUGCCUGCUGGUUGAUGAGAGCUGUGGAACUGAACCAGAAUAGGAAGGUGGUGUGGUGUAAAAGCACAAUAAUGAGUUAAAAGGCACUGAAACCUCUGUAGAACUGACGGGAACUGCAGCCAGGCAAGAAUUCUCAGUGGGUUUGUCUUUUACAUUACACUUGUUAAUGUGAUAUAUUUCAAGACAAAAUAUUGAUUAGUGCAGCUUUAAUAAAUUAAUGUAACAAAGGUCAGUAAUGAGACAGUUGUUCCUGCAAAGCUUUUGGGAUUUAUGGUCCACUUUUCUCUGGACUUUCUUUUUUCAAUGACGUCAAGGUUUCUCAACACAUCGUCUUCUUGCGUGUUGUACAACCCAGAAAGUUUUGUGAGCUUCCUUUUGGAAAUGCCAGCCAUUGUCAGUCUGAGAACAGACUAUGGUCAGCAAUAUCUACAGAAAAAAUUAAUGGAAUUUUUACCUCUGGACCCACCCAGCUCCUAACUCUAUGACAAAGGGAAGAAACGUGAGAGCAGAGCGAGCCGAACAGAUGUGGACGCUCAGCAACAGUAGGAGGAGGGAGAUAAAAGAGGAAAGGAGGGGAGCGUCAGGCAGAAUGAUGGCCAGAGAAGAACCGAAAAUAGAAGUGACCGCUUCACUCAUUCGCUUUUCCAUGAAAGGGGACGUUCCCAGUUCGCCGGAAGAGCUCCAGACAGAAGGAGCCCACACAGGGAGUAACCAUCCCACAUCUGAGACUGAUCUAAUUUGGCUUUAAUGCAUCCUGACUGGGUCUGUUCUCAUGUUGUUACUAUUGCUACACAGGCUCAGGAACACGUUGUAAAACCUUUGUCGGUAAACACAGUCCACACAAGAAAAUGAUCGCUUUCUGUUUUUAAACUUAGCCUGUAAGGCUAGCAUGCUGCCGAAGGCUGAAAAAUCUGGGUGUGGUUCAUGGAAGACAAACCCUCAACAGCUACAGGAUCACUGAGAUGGAGCGGGGCUUCUGUUGAGCUGCUCGGUGGCCAACUGGCCAACCGCAAAUGAGGGGGAACCUCCAGCUGUCAAUUUAGGAAUGACAGGUAUGCUGUAACAAAGGGAUUGUUACCUGUGGCCAAAGAUAACAGAACGAUGUACUUUCUCGUCAACACAUAGAAGGUAAUGAAAAAAUGUGGUGGUGACAGCUAAAAAAUCAUUAACCUGAAUGAUAUGAUACGUAUUGAGGUUUAGGGGUAAAUUUAAAUGUUUCAUGUUUUCUUUUUUUACCCUUGGCUCAAAUAUUUGGAUUUGACUGCUUUUUGAGCGUCACCCCUUCCUGUCAGCUACAUUUACUUUGCUGGAAGAUUCGCCUGCGGUGACUGAAACCUCUGUAAGCAGACUCGUAAAAUGUUUUACUACAGAUUUCAAACUGCCGCACACAGAGCUCUUCACUUCUAAUUCUACCAGAUGAUGUAACCAACGCCAGUGUCCAAGCCAAAACAACAGAAACAGAAACUGCACACUCUGCAGAUCAGCUUCUGCACGAAGAGAAACGUUUGACUGACUUCAGGACCUGCAGCUUCUCUAAUUAUUUAGGUCAUGAAUGAAAUGACAGAGAGAAAUCUGACUUUAUAAAAAACAUUUUUAUUAUCACAGCCUCGUUUUUGAACAAAAAAUAAAUAACUGGGCAUUACUUCUGUAGUUUCAUGAAGACACCACAGGCAUGGUGACAGUGAGGAUCUGGGGAAAAACAGGAACAAGUUAGGUUAAGGUACAGACUGUGUGUGUGUGUGUACAUAUCAGGUUUGUUGAGUAAAUAUAAUUCAGUAUUGCAGGUGCAUAGUCUGCAGUGUGUAUGUGGCGUUCACGUCUACUAUAUGUCUGUGUGUUUUGUACCUGAGUGCUGUUGUUGUAUUGAGCCACGCUGUUCUCCUGGUCGACGAGGAGGGGAUGGAAGAUGUCGAGAUGGAAGAGCGAGGGCCGAGCCGUCAACACCAGUCGGUCCUCUCCGACAUCAAGGACCAAAGAGCGGGACGACGUCUGCAAAGGAGACAAGUUCACCCAGCUGACACUCUACUAAACAGCAGUUUUAUUUCUGCAAUGAGGAACUCAGGGUCCCCAGCAGGGGGCUCCACAAGCAAGGUGAACUCUGGUCUGAACAUGCGGAUGAAAGGAAAGAAGAGGUGGAAAAGAAUGUGACAAGUUAAUGUCAGGCACAGAGGCAGUCGGAGGGACGUACUGAGGCGGCAGCUCUUGGAUCACCGGCCUGCUCUUCGUCCGGAUGUUCUGCUCGCUAACAGAACCCAAGAACUUUCGGUUCUUCAGCACCUUCCAGUCUGCAGGAACACAAGAACAAAUCUUGACAACUGCUGUCAACAUGAAGGAAAGGCUCAUGGGAACUCUGUAACCGCUGGGAUCCUCCGACUGGAGCAGCUCCACGAGCUCCUCUCUGGACAGUUCUGGUGGCAGUGGGACUGAGUUCGACUGACAGAUGUUGAUGAAGACCUUCUCCUUGCCCGGCUCUGAGAGAGUCUUCACACACAUUCCUGGGAGGGAGGAGGAGAGGGAUGGAAAGACAAAGAAAAAGAGAAAGCAAAAUUAAAGAAAGACAAAGAGAAACUAAAAGAGAAAGAAAAAAUAAAUGAUUUAUGUGCACUGCCUUCCAAAUCUGAAGAUCUGAUACAAGCUGUAGUGCAGAGCUACUUACCAGGUUGUGGUCGGAUUACUUUGGAGUCUGGAUUGUCAGCCUGCAUCUUUCCCAUUGUCUAAACAGAUAACCAGCAGUUUAUUUUAAGUUCAGUGGUGGUUUGCAGACCUAUUGGAAAGUUUUACACAUAUUCAACUGCAUAAAAAGAACUAUUGUAGAGUAAAACGCUUGAGUGUCACAUUGUUAUAUAAAACAUGAGCCACUGACAGAGCGGAAAAGGAAAGAGGAGGAGGUCAAGACACACUGACACAUAAGAAAUGAAAUGAGCACCAACGCGCUAAUUAUACGCCAACACAAAGUACAGAAAUGGUCAUCUGUGUUUGAAAGGCUUGCACUACAUGGAGCUUUCUGCAUGCCAUUUUAUCUCUUGACAUUUUCAGCAAAUAUGCCUCCACUGAACUCAAACAAAGGACAAACAAGUGAUGCAAUAAGUUCCCAGGCUACAUUUCAAACUGGCCUGACCCCCAGUACUUCAUAAUCAAUGCCAUGUUCAUUGAUGGAUCAUAAUUAGAUGCUUGUGAUAGACAACAUGCUUCUUUUUACUUGACAGGCUUUUUUUUACAGCCUGUUACAGGCCCUCUGUGUUCAUGUGAAACUCGGUUAGGAAUUCCAAAUGGAUUUGGAAAGCUGCAGAGCAGGCCACAUAAAACUGAGACUUCACUUCGUUCUCCAUAUUUACAUAUUUAAACUGUUUUUACACCAGCAAGCAUUCCUGCACAGCCUUUAACUAGUUAUGUAAAUGAUUUCACCUAAGCUGAGUAACAAAUCUGUUUCUCAACACCAAAAAGAUGGUGUUAAUGUUGUGUAUCAUCAUGAAUGAAACAAACCUGUAAUGUAUUUUUUGCCUUAUAGGAAUAGUCUGACAUUUUGAUAGAAACACUUACUGGCUUUCUGGGUGGGAAGAUUGAUACCACUCUCAUUUCUUUACCUCAUAUAUGAAGUGACCCCGUUUCCAGACUGUUUGUACCGCUUCCAUCAGGAAAGCGGUACAGGAACAUCUGCACCACCACCAACAGACUGAGGGACAACUUCUUCCCCAGAGCUGUCAGAGCUAUCA